rnacentral:rRNA from 1 species
CGGACGGGUGAGUAACGCGUGAGUAACCUGCCUUACACAAGGGGAUAGCCGUUGGAAACGACGAAUAAUACCCUAUGACAUAAACUCUUCGCAUGAGGAGCUUAUCAAAGAUUUAUCGGUGUAAGAUGGACUCGCGUCUGAUUAGCUAGUUGGUGAGGUAACGGCCCACCAAGGCGACGAUCAGUAGCCGGCUUGAGAGAGUGUACGGCCACAUUGGGACUGAGACACGGCCCAGACUCCUACGGGAGGCAGCAGGG